rnacentral:tRNA from 1 species
UCUGUAGCUCAGCUGGAUAGAGCAACGGCCUUCUAAGCCGUAGGUCGCGGGUUCGAAUCCCUCCAGG